rnacentral:rRNA from 1 species
CCUACGGGAGGCUGCAGUGGGGGAUAUUGCACAAUGGAGGGAACCCUGAUGCAGCGACGCCGCGUGGGUGAAGGAGUGCUUCGGCAUGUAAAGCCGUAUCGGCAGGGGAGAAGCAAGGCGGUACCUGACUAAGAAGCCCCGGCUAACUACGUGCAAGCAGCCGCGGUAAUACGUAGGGGGCGAGCGUUAUCCGGAUUCACUGGGUGGAAAGGGGGCGUAGACGGCCAUGCAAGCCAGGGGUGAAAGCCCGGGGCCCAACCCCGGGACUGCCCUUGGAACUGUGGGGCUAGAGUGCGGGAGGGGCAGGCGGAAUUCCUGGUGUAGCGGUGAAAUGCGUAGAUAUCAGGAGGAACACCGGCGGCGAAGGCGGCCUGCUGGACUGCGACUGACGUUGAGGCUCGAAAGCGUGGGGAGCGAACAGGAUUAGAUACCCUGGUAGUC